GACGUAGGGCGCGAGCGUUGUCCGGAAUCAUUGGGCGUAAAGCGCGUGUAGGCGGCCCGGUAAGUCCGCUGUGAAAGUCGGGGGCUCAACCCUCGAAUGCCGGUGGAUACUGUCGGGCUAGAGUGCGGGAGAGGCGAGUGGAAUUCCUGGUGUAGCGGUGAAAUGCGCAGAUAUCAGGAGGAACACCGGUGGCGAAGGCGGGUCUCUGGGCCAUAACUGACGCUGAGGAGCGAAAGCGUGGGGAGCGAACAGG
rnacentral:rRNA from 1 species